rnacentral:misc_RNA from 1 species
AAGCUGAACCUUUUGCUUUACCUCAAUUCUUUCUUCAACCUAUUAUUGCUAGGGCUGAGCAUUCGGUCAGUUCCAUUCAAAACCAAACCGAACCGAAAAUCAAAUUUCUUAAAAAUGUAAAAACUGGACCAAACCAUGUAAACAACUGAACCAAAUCAAACCGAAAUAAAUUAGUUCGGUUCGUUUCAAAAUUUGAUUUUUCAUAUCUCCAUUCUUCUUCUAUUCCCAUAUCACAGAGACUCACAAAAAUCAUAAAAUCACAAGAAGCCACAAAAAAUCAUAAUUCAUAAUAACAACAAAAAAUUUUCAUUAAUACAAAAUUGAUAAACAAAACUUACAUUGAACUCCAACAUCACAAAAUUACAAAAUGCAACAAUGAAAUAAAAAUUAGAGGAAAAAGAGAGAGGUGUUGCUUUGCUGUGCUAAGGCUACAAUGUUGGCGUGUUGUUGUGUUGCUUAGUCCUAAGCACAAAUUGCGACUGUAGUGUGGACUUGUUGCAACUAUCGAUGGGCACUAGGGAAGAACAUGCAGAGAUGAGGAAUGGCCAAAUGCGUGAGGUAUGGUGGCAGCGAGCAGUGGAGAAGAAAUGAAGGAGAAGAAAAGAUAGGAGAUUGGGGGGUGGCAAGAUAUGAGAGUAAAUGAAGAAGAAGAAGAAGAAAG